UUGGAUUUAUAUUUUAGAAUUAGUGUUGAUAGGAUAGAGGAAACUGAUGUCAUAUGCAGCGAGGUGUUCUUCAUGGUGGUAAAUCUUAAAGGCAGCUAUAGCCUAAAAGGCAUAAUAAUUGUAAUAGCCAAUUUUGGCCUAAACCCAAAUCAAUAAAAAAAAACCAAAAAAAUAAUAAAAUAGUCCAAAAUGAAUGUCCAUUUACAUAUUAAACCCAGGCCUAAACUACCCAAACCCAACAAGCCCAAAAGUCUAGAAACCAUAAAGCCCAACUAGCCCACAAACAUUUUCAGCAGAAAAAGGGUUGGCAAACCCUAGCCGUAUGCCAUGUCGACACCCUUCUUUACCGCGCACGCCACCACCGUUCGAGGCACACCAACCACCAGUCUUGCACGCUUCUCUGUCACCUGCAAAGUAAAAACACACAAGGCAAAGGGACAAUGAAGAAAAGGACAAGAAGCAAUAGAAAACAACGAAGAAAACGAAAAAAAAUGGCAGAAAACAAAACGAAAGUUGAAAAAAAUGGAUCUCGUAUCCGGCUAUGAAACCUGAAACAUCAACUUUGUACUUUUUUUUACGCACAUUAAGCAAAUCAAAAAAGAAAUAAAACUGAAGUUAUAAGGUGUUUGUUUUGAUAUCUUUUUUUUUCUUCUUUCGUUUUCUGUUUGUAUUUUAUUUUUCUGUUUAUUUAUUUAUUUAUUUUUAUCUAUUUAAAAAAAAACAUAGAUUAAAAAGAAAAGAAAAAAGGGGCAUACCUGAGGGUUGCGCUCCACCAUCGUAAAAAUUCGAGGUAAUCACUUUCGAUGAAAGGUGGCCAGAAGUCGCGGGGUCCUUUGCUUAUCUGGGGAUUUUCGUUUGAAUAUUGGAAGUUUCAACUUAGAAACGAGCUUAAGGGGGUCAAAACGGUCGAAAUGGCUUUUUUGGGGGAUUUUGGCCAUUGUACACGGCGGUCACCGCCGUCGUCGGCCGGCGACUAUGACGGGCGGAUGGUGGCCCUAUAGGCCAAACAUGGGGGGAGUUUUGAGAGGAUGAGAGGUUUAGAGUUGAUUUUUUUGGUGUGAGGGUUGAAAAUGAAAGUUUUUAAAA
rnacentral:lncRNA from 1 species